UCUGCUCCCAUGCCCUGCUGUUGGCUCUGCUACGGAGAGGCGGAGAGGUCGCGCACACCCCUUUCCUCCUUUAAACAUCUUUCCUUCCUGCUCCUUUUCUCUCUCCCGCUCUCCAUUCUCGCUGUCCAUCAUUCACCUGCUUCGCCACACCACAUUUCACUUCCUCUCUAGCUCGCUGCAUGUGCCUGUUGUUCUUCGCCAUCCGUGUGCGUGCCCGUUGUGAUGGCGUGCCUGCGUGCGGUCGAUGCUGCUGGUUGAGCUGAAAUCCUCUCUGUGCUGUCUCCUGCGCCAACCGGUGCGCCAUUCUGCCGUCUGCAUUGAGGUUGUUCGUCUGCCAUUCCGCCUUCAUUUGCUGUCCUGGUUGUUGUUCUUAAUCCUGGUUUGAAGAGCUGCUCUGUUUCUGCAUCUUCACCUGCGACUUGCUACUGGUGCUGAAGAUGAUGGUUUCUUCCCCGUUCUUAGUCCAGAAAUUUCGGCCCGUAAUAGAAAGAGAUGCAGGGUGAUCAUCGAUGGGCUUAGGGGACAAGGGCCUGUCAUUCGGUCACCCUUAGGCACUAAUUGGGCCGGGUUCACGCCCGAGGAGUCUGAGAUGUUAAAAGUUGGGUACCGAAAGAGAUCUUUCUAUGGUGGCCCAGACUACAAGUGUCCCAGAUGUGAGGCAGUCUUCUGGUUCGAGGAGAGAGUGAAGUCAGAGUCCGCUAUCACACGAAGGCGGAUGGUUUACAACAAAUGUUGCAAGGGUGGUAAGGUGUAUAUUACACCUUUUAAAAAGCCACCCUUGUUCCUCUCUGAAUUGCUGAGAUACAAUUGUCCUCCGCGUAGCAAAGAUUUUAUAAAAAAGAUAUGCCAGUACAACUGUCUCUUUGUGUUUACUUCUAUGGGGACUACUGUUGAUCGCUCAAUAAAUGAUGGUAAUGGCCCAAAUAUAUACAAAAUAAAUGAUCAGGUUUGCCAUCGAACGGGGUCUCUUAUGCCUAAGAAAGGAAACACCCCAAAGUAUGCUGAAUUGUAUAUAUAUGAUACCCAGAAUAAGAUAAAAAACAUGAUUCAGGCUUUGGACAAGGGUGAAAAGGGUAAUGGUGCUUUAGACAAGUCUAUUGUUGAAGGGUUGAUGCACAUGCUUGAUGCGCACAAUUCUUUUGUCAAAACAUUUCGAUCAGCUAGGGAAAUAUUAGAAGCCAAUAAACAUGCUGAAAUAGCCAUAUGUUUAAUUGCCCCUGGAGAAUCUGAUAGUCCACAGUUUAGUCUUCCUACCACCGAUGAGCUUGCAUCUUUGAUGUUUGGUGAGUUUACGGUAGAAACUUCUUGUCAUGACAUAAUAAUACAUGGUAGGGAUGACAAUCUGCAACAAAUAUCUUCUUUGCAAACUUCAUAUAUGCCUUUGCAGUAUCCUCUUCUCUUCCCCUAUGCCGAGCGUGGGUUUCAGCUUGGGAUUAGAUAUAUUGGUUCAGACCCCCUUGAUACAACCAAAAGAACUAGGCUUACCAUGCAGGAUUAUUAUUCCUAUUGUCUCCACUACAGACCAGAGCAACAUAAUCCAUACCUUUGUUGUGGUUUGCUCUCCCCACAGGCCAUUGUAGAUGCACGCGCUUGCAUAGAUGAGUGGAGAUUGCAUUUUAUCAUGAAGGCUAACAAUGAUCUUAGAGCAGAAAACUUGCAAGGGGUUACUGAUGCUGUUGGAAAAGGGCAGACAGAUGCAGGUUCUGUUGGCAAGAAAAACAUACUUCCAUCAUCUUUUACCGGUGGCCGCCGUUAUAUGGUUGAGAACUUCCAAGAUGCGAUAGCUAUUUCGCGUGUAUUUGGCCCACCAGACCUUUUCACCACCUUCACCUAUAAUCCCAAGUGGGGUGAAAUAGCUGAGGCCUUGUCAUCUGAGCCUGGGCAAAUGCCUUCGGAUCGAGCUGAUCUUCUAGUUAGGGUUUAUCACAUGAAGCUAAAUGACUAUCUUCAUGAUAUCAAGUCUGGGGAGGCAUUUGGCCCUGUUGUAGCUGUCCUGCAUACUGUAGAGUUUCAGAAAAGAGGGCUUCCUCAUGCUCAUAUCCUGAUCUUGCUUGAUAGGAAGAAGCGGGAGAUGGCGCAUCAAAUGCUUUCUGAGAUACACAACCACAGCAGGAAACGGGUUGUCUUUGUCCUUGUAUCUCACCUCUGGUUCUAGCGUGGAGGAACUGACAAUGGACCCAUCCAACACAUGGAUUUGGUUGUUCUUGAUAGCCAGGGCAAUCAUAUGUACGUGCAGAUACCGCCUCAGGCAGCAGAACGCCUGCAGCAUGAGCUAGAAGAAGGAAAGGUCUACAUGAUGACUAAGUUCAACUGCAUUAAGUCAAAGCCUACCUUUAGGGCUGUUGAGAGCCUAUACAUGAUCUAGUUCACCAGGUUCAGUGAUACAGUGCUUCGCCCAGGCUUGUAGGCAGACUACCCAUUUUGUACCUAUAAUCUGGUCUCAUUUGAAGACAUUCCCAGGCCAGGUGGUCGUCCUGUCCGUUUUCUUGAUGUCAUUGGAAGGAUAACUACUGUUUCUGAUGUGAUCCCUAUCCAAUCAUCACACCAGCCAGAACCAUCAAACACAAGGACGAAUCCUCACUGACUUACAAUGAGGGCCAGGAGCUAAGGCUGGUCCUCUGGGGUGACCGCGCAGUUGAAUUUGAAGCAGAGGCAGUGCACGCAAGGGACAAAAAGUAGGCUGUCAUUGCAAUUUUCGUGGGAACAUUGCCUAAGAUGAAUCAAGGUGUUAAAGGACUUAGCGGUAGUUCUGCCUGUCGCUGGUACAUCGAUGAGGAUUUGCCUGUUAUAAAUGACUUCCGCAACAGGCUUGGAACUAAUUUUACACCUAUUGAUGUCAAUGCUGCUAUUGAUGGAGGGUCGCUUCCUGCUCGUAUCUAUGAUGCUCCGGUCGAAAUGACUGUGUCAGAACUCCUUAAGCUCGACCCUUAUGAGAGCGGGCUAUGUUUAUUCUCUUCUCAUGCUUUCCAGAUGUUCCUUUUUACUUUUGUUGUUUAUGUACCCAAUACUGAAUGAUGUUGUUUACACAAGAAAAAAGGUUCAUCUGCACCGUUACAGUCCAAAGGCUUACUCCUGAUCAGUGCUAGUGGUUCUUCUCUUGCUCUUCCUACAGCAAGACCUCAACAAUGAUGGGAUCGCAGUACCGAUGCACUAAUCCUAGCUGCUCAGCUAAAGAAGCACAAGAAACAUACUGUGUUUCUGUCCUUACACGUGAUGAUGUGGAUGAGGCUGAGUUUGUUAUGUUUGAUAAGGUCGGAAAAGCAGCUAUGGGAAAGCCUCUUCUUACCUUGCUGAAGUUUAGGAACCCAGGGCUUGUAACCAUAGAAGAAAUUGCUCGCGUGCCAAUGGUUGACAGGAUUGCUCCACCGGAAGUUAAUCAGGUUGUUGGGCAGAAGUAUAAGCUCCUGGUGUCCAUUUCAAGGAGAAGCUUUUCAACCACUAGCCACCAGUUGUCAUUCCAAGUUGUAAAGAUUAUGGAAACCUACAAGCCUCAGUUAAGCUCAUCUGCUUUUGACUAUAUUCCUGGGACGUCCGGAGCAUCAUCUUCUACCUCACUAAUUGAUGGUCCAGCAACUUCUGCAAUGUUUACACCAAAUACGCCAAACAUCCAUCAAGUGCAACCUAGAAGCUCAUCAGGAAGCCUUGCUAUAGGCUAUCAGACACCUACAAGCGAGACGCGCACACCAACUUCAAAGCUCAGUGUCAAUCUCCUUCCAACUGCAUCCCCAGGCAAAUCGCCAUGCCCAACCGGUAGUGCCAGACGUGCCUUGUUUCCAGGUCUUGACAAUAAAGCAGCUCCACUAGAAGAGCCUAUGAAGAAGCCUGAUGAAACAGCAGAGGUGCACCAGGAGGAAUCUGAUGGCAAGGUCGAAGCUCCUUUAGUUGCUGUUGAGGAAAAGAAUGACAAGGAUGAGCAGAACCAGACGACCAAAAACAAAAGGAACCCUACUGCUAGAAAGGGGACUGGGACAGGAAAGAAAUCAAGGCAGUAACUACUCCGCGCUAGCUACGCAGAGAUAUAUUACCUAUAGAUUACCUAUGCUGUAAUGUUAGCUUCUCUGCGAUGACAUCAUGGGAGAAAGACGAUAGUCCAUGCAACUAGCCUCAUCCUCGACAGUGCUCCACCGCAGUGCUCUUUGACCAGCUUCAAGACGAGCCCGUUGAUGCCUAUGCUACCUGCGUGAACUUUUGUGUAACUAAAUGCUCCUUAUUAAGCAGGUCUGAAACUAGAGUCUUUAGCUGCUCAAGUAGCAGUGUCAAAGCACGGCAAAACAAAAAACUCCCCUAUAUAAUCAAGUGAACUCUAGCCUAUUAUGUGUGUGCUGUUCGAUUAUGAUUUGCCUUUUUUUGCGUGAUAUGCUGCCCCAUAGCCUGCAGAUGAUUUCUUCUUCUCAUAGAUAAUUUUG
rnacentral:rRNA from 1 species